UCCUAUUGAUUAAGUGACAAAUAAAAGAGAUUGAUUAAUUUGUUCUUGUAGGAGAGGCGAAUGGUAUCCGAAUAAAGAAAGCAAGGGUUUGAUGGAAGGCUUACUUGGAGCAAGAUAGCGAUCAAUCGAGUUGCUGCGUUUUAUUCUCUUUUCUCUUUGUUUUUUAAGAAAAAUAAACUGCCACACGUAGAAACAGAAAAUUAAGUUCUUGUCAUUUUCAUGCAUGUGGAUUGUUGCUUUGUGUGUCAAUCAAAUCUCCGUUGUGUCAUUUGUAAUUUUCAACCUUUAUGCAUGCAAAUGCGAGACCUCUUACGUAUAAUAAAAUUAAUAUACUUCCCAAGAUGGUCUUAUCUUGCGUUGACUUUUUACGUUCCUUUGGUGAUGAUUUUAACGUUUGAAAUUGAUGAGUAUUGUUUUUGUAAACUCUGACAUGGAUUUUUCGUGCAACUAAAGAGCGCAUUAAUGAGAGACUUAUCCAUGAGGGUCCAUGCAUAUCAGUGUCUAAUUAACCAAUAAUUAAUAUAACUUAAAAAAUAUAGAGUUAACAAUUUUUAUGGGUCAGGCUCAAUUGCAGAUGUUCGUACAAAAUUUCUUGCUAAUGUAUACUUGAGUAUGAUAAUAAGUUUUAAUCAUUAUUAAUAAUUCACUUGACAAUAUUAAACAAAUUUUCAUAUCAAUUAAGUUACAAAAUUUCUGUGACAAAUUUCCACGUACUGGAACCAUGCAAAAGGACUUUAUUCAAACAAAGCUGCAUAGCCGUUGGCAAUUAAAAUUAUUUAUCAAUUAAGUUAAGUAGUAAGAAUUGGAUUGUGGAUUCCAUUAAUUAUUUCAAGGAAAAUUUUAUAGAUAAUGCCGUAAUGAAAUUUACGGCAUCAAUACCAUGAUAAAUAUAAAUAUUGUAAAUUACAAAGAGAAUUAGUAAAGGUAAAGUAAAACCAGUAAAUUCAUAAAAGAUUAUUAAUUAUUUAAAAAAUUAACAUUGUUUCUACAUAAUUUUAGUGAAAAAUAUUUUAUUCAUUUACAAAAACAUUUCUUUAAUUAAACAAAAAAAAUUCAUUAAUUAAGCAAAAAAAUUAUACUGAAAAAAAAAAGUGGAAUAAGUUUAAUUGAAUUGGUUAUCAUAAAUUCUAUAUUUAGUCUAGGACAUUUGUAUACAUUUUUUUUCCCAUUUUCGAUAAUGAUAUCUAUUUGUUACACAUGUUAAUUAAGUGCAAUUAUUUAUCUUGAUGUGGACCAAGUAAAAAAAAAAAAAAAAAAAGAGAUAUCAAUAAAAUUAGAUCUAGUUUUGAAUAUUAUGUAUACUUUAUGUAGUUUCAAACUUUUUACUUGUAUUUGGAGACCAUUUAAGGUUGUUGUUGAAGAAGUGUAGAAAGAUGUAAAAUAACUUCAUCUUACAACAACUAUGAAAGAUAUUAAAAUAAUAUUUUUUUCAAAAUCCGAUUUUGAGAAAAAAUUUCAUCCUUAAUUAAACAUCACAUGUAUUAUAGAAAUGAAAAACUACCAUUGUUAUAUUUAAAUUAAAAAAUAAUAAAUAUAUAAGGUAAUAAACAUUAUAACGAGUUUUUAUUUUAAAAUUGUAAACUUUUGUUUCUGACAAUAACUCUUAUAUUAAUUAAUUUAUUUUGCAUUUUAUUCAUAAGUUUUAUGCAUAAUCUACAAACUUUAUGUUUUAUUUUGCAUUUAAUGUUGAUUUGGUUUUUUUAUAUUAUACGUAUAAGUUUUCAUUUUAUUUACCAGUAAUACAUCAAUUUAUCAGUUUUAUUGUAAUUUACUUAUUUUACCUUCCUUUUACAAUUCUUAUGUUUCAUUUUCAAAAUUUAUGUUUUAUUUUACAGUUGUUGAUGAUUUACUAGUUUUAUGUUAUGUUUGCAAGUUUUUGUUUUGUUUACUAGUAAUAGAUUAAUGGGUAAUUUUUAAUUGAGUCCUCAUUAGUUCUAGAAAAAAAAUUCAGAGACCAGAAGUUUACUAAAUGAAUCAAUUAAAUUCUUUCAAGUACAAACUAAUGUCAUUCAAGUCCUUAACUUAAUUGCUCAGUUAAAAAUAUUAACAACAUUGAGGACAUUUUAGUAAAACCACAAUUGAGUCGUUUCUCAUUCUUUAUUUUUGACAGGUGGAAAUAGUUUAAAGUUAACUCAAUUAACCUGAUUAAGUUAAGGAUCAGUUCUUUCAAAAGAACAAAAAAAAGACCUACAGAAACUGCCAUAUUCUUCGUGUGAGAGGAGAGAUCGAGAGAACGUGGGAUGGUGCAAAAAAUGUUGUAUAAAUCUACUGUGAUUUUGACCAAAGCUUUGGUAGCAUUGAUUGAGUUCAAGUACUGGAGAGAACCUGAGUUUAAAGGUUAGUAACUCUAUUUUUUUAGUGAUUUCCGCAAGCAUUUUCUGAUAAAAAAAUUUUCCAUAUUGAGUGAUCGUUGUGAAAAAUUAAGUUUUUCAAGUCUAUUUUUGAAAAUGACAAACUAUGUUUAAUUAUUGGUGGAUUCUUUUUUUGUUCAAUAUUGUAUUUUGUUAAUUUGUUGUUUUUAAUUUGCUCUUUAUGUAAUUGUUAGACCAAAUACACCAUUAUUAUACUUGUAUUCAUUUCAACAAUUUGGUAUCAUUAUAUUAAUAAGAUUGAAUUCAUUGUAUUUGCUUCUUUGUUCAUGUAAAAUUGAAUUCUAUGUAUUCUUAUGAGUGAUAAUUUUUCUAUCUAUUAGACUAAAUUCACUAUAUUCACUACUUUCUUUCUUUUUGCUGGGCUAUUUUUUCUUUUUAGUUUAUAUUUUUUAUAUGUAUUAGAUUGAAUUUGCUUUUGUAUGUUUUUUUCGCCAAAUUGCAUGUAUAUUUCAUUUAGGUUGAGUUUUUUUUGUUGUUUGCUAAAUAAAAGUAUAUUGGUUUAUCCUUUUUUGAGGCAAUACUUUUGUUUAAAAUUAAUACAGGUAGCCAUGUUACCUUUUUUUCGGUUAAAAUUAAUGGGGUGAUGUAUGCGAUAGGAUAUAGGGAACCAGAGGAAUAUAAGAUUAUUAGGCUGUUUCUUGAAAUUCAAGAUGUCAUGGUUAAGCAUGGACACAUUGAAAUGGAUUUGAUUGAAAUUUUUGUUGUAUUGCCAUGGACUACAAGUAGGCAGAGGAAGCUAAUUUCAAACGAUAGUGAAUUGUAUUGGGUUUUCGAGGAGUUUUUUUUAUCAAUAGUUGUCCUGUCAUUGAGUUUGAGGUGCACACUGGGUCAGGUGGUCAGUCAUUUCAUGAAAGUGUUGUAAUAGGACCUGAAAAUCCUGUCAAUAUUAAAAAUUAGCGUUGUAAUAGUGAUAAGUUUGAAAAUCCUGUGGCUAAAAAGGGUUUGCCUAGAAUAAUUGGUUCUUCUUUAUUUGCCUCAAAGUCCAACACUAUGAAAUCCACUAGGAAAAAGAAUUUUAUCCACUUUAACCAGCACGUCUUCAAUCUUACCUUCAGGAUAAGCAUGAGAUCUAGCAGCACAUUGCAAUGUCACUGUGGCUGGUCUGACUUCUCCAACUCCCAAUUGCUUGAAUUCUAAUAAUGUCAUAAGAUUGAUGCUUGGUCCCAAAUAGGGAUGACAAUUGUACCCGCAAACCCCGCCAAACCCACCUGCCAAAACCCGCCCGUUGCGGGUAAUUUUACCCAUUGCGGGCGGGUUUUAGUAUUAUAAAUUAAACCCGCGCAUGGAUGUGGGGUGGGUUUUGGUAUUAACCUUAUAAUCCGGUGGAUACCCGCAUGGAUAUCCACCAAACCCGCAAUAUUUUUUUUCAAAUAUUUUUAAUUUAAUUUAAAUAUAAAAAUGUAUAAAGAAAAUAAUGUCAUUAAUCAAAUUACCAAAUAGACAAAGGCUCAAAGUUGUGUAUGUGUGUAUGUGGCCCAUCUCUUAUUCUAAAGUCAUAACCUAAAGAAAACUAAAGGCAUUUCCCUUCGAAUUAGUAUUUGAAAAAUAUUAAUCUUAAUUAUUAUUAUAGGCAUUGUGUUGGAUGGGUGCUUAUGGUGGUGAAAUGAAAUGAAUAUCUUCUCUUGGAUCUUGUUUUAAAAUGAUAAUAUGAAAUGUAAUUAUUAUUUUUAGAUACUAGUUUGUGUUUUUAAAAUGGAUUUGUGUAAUUUAUACUUAAAUUUGAGAAUUUGUAUUGAAUUGAUGUGGAAAUUUUAAUUUUUCAUUGACAUUGUUUAAAUAUAAAAUUGAGUAUGCUAUUUGGAAUUUGAGGUUAUUAUUAUAAAUUUAUAUAUUAAAUAUUUGUGAUUUUAAAUACGAAAACCCGCAAAAAUCUGCCGGAUACUAUUGCGGGUUGGUAAUUAUUAAAACCCGCUGCGGGUGGGUUUUAAAAAAAAAUUAAAACCCGCGGCGGGUUGCGGGUGGGUUUGGUAAUUUAAAUUUUGUGCGGGUUUGGGUUUGAUAAUGGCAAAUCCGCUGCGGGCGGUGCCCAUUGCCAUCCCUAGUCCCAAAUCACAAAGUGUCUUGCCACUGUAUUUAGUUCCUAUGGAACAACGAAUUGUGAAACUUCCUGGAUCAUUCAACUUCUGAGGCAUUUUACUCUGAAGCAUAUGGCUGAAUUCUUGUGUUAGACCAACUAUUUCAAAUUCUCCGAGCCUCAUUUUCCUUGCCAAUAUACAUUUCCAAAACUUUACAUAAUUUGGCAUUUGUUCUAAUGCUUCCACAAAAGGAAUGUUGAUAUGCAGUUAUUUCAAUACUUCCAAGAAUUUACUGAACUGCUUGUCUUGCUUUCGCUUUUGAAAUCUUCGUGGGAAGGAUGGUGAUGUGUAAAUUGUUGUACUGCAGCAGACUAUACAUAUUGCUUUUCUCUUGCUCUAUUAUGGUAUGUUAUUGUUGGUGCUGCAGCUUCUUCCUCAACAAGCACUGAAUCAUGUUUUUUUUGCAGUUGCUAUAACUUAGCAACUCUCACCAGUGUGCUGGAAAAUGGGUUGUUGUGUCUCUUCUUUAAUUUGAGUUUCCCCUUGGGUUGAAUUAGGUUCCACUCUUCUUUUUAGUACUUUAACAAGUAUAUGAACAUCCUUUCCAGACCUUAAGUUAAUCCCCUUACAAUGCUCUUUUCCUUCUCUUUCGAUCCUCUGUAUUGUUUAGUAAAUUGUCCUAAGGUAUGUUGCUCAAUGUUGUAGCAAGCUGUCCAAUCUUAUUCUCCAAGUUUCUUAAAAAUACAGCUUGGCUUUAGACCACUACUUCAAUCUUCACAAUAUACUCCUUAAUCAGAGUUUCAAUGGAACUAAAUUGAUCAUUACUGGUGUUUCUUUACCCUUAAAAUUUCUGGUGAAAAUCAGGUGGCUGAGCAAGUCAGUUCUGUCCACUGGAUGCUGCAGCAUGCUGAUUCUGAUUGCUCCUUUUAAAAUUUGGGUGAUGUCUCCAUCCUAGGUUAUAGGUGUUUGAAAAUGGAUUGCUUUGAUUUUGUUUAUUAAAAUUGCCCACAUAAUUGACGGAAGCUGAAUUCCUAGGACAAUUAUCAUAUAGAUGUCCCUCUCCAUAAUAAACACAAGAGACUUCAGCAAUUUGGUUAACUGUUGUUGGAGCAGUGGCCGUUGCUUUUACCAUAUUUUGUCAAUGAGGUUACUUGGGCUGAUAAUGUUGUCAGUGCAUCCACAUUGUGUACUCCUGCUGCUCCUCUCACUAUGGCUUGUCUAGUUGAUGGCCAUUGAUAGUUAUCCUUUCUAAAAUUUCAUAAGCCUCAUUAUAUGAGUUAGACAAUAAAGCCCCUAGUUAUUGAGUUCAACCCAUUGUAGAAAGUUUCCAAUUGUAUGCAAUAAGGAAUACCAUGAUGAGGGCAUCUCCUGAGUAACUCCUUGAAUCUUUCUCAUGCAUCAUACAAGCUUUCAUCUUCAAGUUGAUGGAAAGAUGUGAUCUCAUUCUUCAACUUUGCAUUCUUUGUUGGUGGGAAAUAUUUCAUCAAAAUUUUGUCAGCCAAAUAAUUUCAUGUGGUGAUGGAGUCUGGUUGUAAAGAACUCCACUGUACCAACUAAAAUUGAUUUCACAAAACACAAUAAGCACCAAUCCCUGGCAACGGCGCAAAAAACUUGUUGUCGAUUUUCUAAUGCUAUUAGUGUCAAUGUGAAAAUGUACACAACAAGUAAUAUAACGAUAAGUAUUCACUCCACAAGGAUUAUUAUUAGGAAUUGCUACAGUAAUUCUAUCAGUGCCAUUCUUAUUAUAAAUUAGAAUUUAAACAAAUUAUUCAACUAANAGAAAAUCUAGAUUUUAGUAAGGAAUAUCAAGUUAUUUAUACAAUGAAAAUUGUUAAAACUCGAUUAAUUGCAAGGAAACACUUUUAGAGAGAUAUGGAGAGAAUAAACUUUGAAGAUAACAAUGAAAUACAUGACACAUUUAAGGAAGAAAAUAUAAUAGUAUUAAUAGAAUCUAUUUUAACCGGUCUUAAGAUAAUUCAAGAUUGAUGCAAAAUAAAUAACAGGACUCUAAACCGUCCAUAAUAAGUCUAUUGAUUAAUAAUAACAAUAAUAGUGAUGUGAAAUUUUUAUUCAGAAUGCUCAAUUUAGAUUAUAAUAUCUAUGUGAAAGCAUUGAUGGCAUGUACCUUGGUUAGGAAAAUAGAUUGGACACAUGGAUAUAUAUGUUGGAAGAACAAAUCUAGUUUAUAUCUCAAGAGAGAUAAUAAAUUAUAAAUGACGGUGCUAUAGUAUAUUCAGAUUUUAUAAAUCUUAUAAAUUUAAUAAUCAUUUAGAUCUUCAUAAUAUUAUAAUAAAACUUUAAAAAACUUUAAAAAUAUAUGUAGAAGAGAUGGAAGAAGAAAUCAUCCAAUUAUUCAAAAUCAAUUAAACAAAAAUAGAAGGUAAAAUCCUUGAAUUAUAUAAAUUAUACAAUUUCACAGAAAUUUGCAUAUAUUGCGAAACGGUCCUUGUGGCACUAAUUAUGGGACUAGUGUAGCAUAAAUACUAAUAUUGCUUUUUAUUUUGUAAAUUAAUUGUUGCGUCAUAAUUUUUUUACAUACACAUUUUAUGUUUUAAAUAUGAUUUUUUUUUUGUAUUUAGGGUUAAUUUACAAUUUCAUACUUUGUUCAAUUAUAUGUACAGGUCCUUCACGUGUUGGUUGAUGUUGAAUAUUCAAAGAUCCACAAGCUAUCAACGACAACGAAUCAAAUUAAACUAAUUAGUUAAUACAUAAUGACUGGGUUGUUUCCUAUGUUGUUAAUGAUGUAUAACGUUAUUUUAGGAUUUUAGAAUUUUAAUUUUUAGGUCUUCUGAUAUUUUCUUUUUUAAUUAAAUUAGUGUCUUAGUUUUUUAUUUAUUUAUGUUAUAAUUAUAAUUUACUUUCUCUUUUUAAGUUAACUUAGGAAAAUAUAUUUACUGUAUUAUAAAUAAAGAGAUCUUGUUAUUACUUUAUAACUUCAACUUCAGUUAUUCAAUUAAAACCCCUCUUUUAUAAUUUCCUUUUGUAUUAUCUAUUUAAAACCCUCUUUUUAAAGUUGUUUGAUUAGAGCAUCAUCUAGCCUUGCUUAACGCAGUAUAAAAAAUCCCUUUGAGUUUAAUCACACGUCGAUUAGAGCGUAACUUAAUCGCAUUGACUUGGUCCAUGACUUGAACGAUAUCUAGUGUUUUGCUUCCGCUAUGCCCAAGGAGAAAAUUAAUUUCACCGUGAGAUAAGAGCAUUAAAAGGAAUUCAUAAGAAAUUUAAAUUAAAGCUAUAUAUGUUAAAUAUAUCGCUAGCUACUUGUUUUUGGAGGAAUUAAAACAAUUAAUAAGCUGCGAAGUGAAAAUGAAUAAAUAAAUGAAAUGAGGUUGAAAAUAAGUCUCGCCGCCUGGAUCCAAGGCCAAAACAUUCAUGAUAAGUUAGGUAAUUAAGUACAUGUUUUCAAGCUCUUCAUGAAGAAUAACGUUAUUGAAAUAAAUCACAAAGACUCCCUGCGCAAAUUAUUACAUUGAUUAAAAAAAAAAGCCAUAUCUUUAACAGGAUCGUGACUCUCGGACUGUUAAUUACUUUAUUCCCUGCUUGGCCAACAGCUGGCCACUAAACAAAAUCAUAAAAAUUUUAAAUUUAGUCAAAUUGGUCCCACUUGAUGACAUCCUUUUCAUACAUAAAAUUGUUAACGUCAAGGUUAAAUAUGAGAAGUUUGGUAGAGAAGGUAAAAAGGAAGUCUAUAUAAGGAGGGGAACGAGCUUUGUUUAUAGCACAAGUGAAACUCCACUUUAUUGAACGAUGGGGUCUCAAAUGGGCUGCCUCUUUGCCACUCUUUUGGUAGUAUCAGUCUCUCUUAGCUACUUGCCGUUAGAAGCCUCCGCAAACAAAUACUACUACACAUCUCCUCCCCCUCCCAAGUACAAGUCUCCACCACCACCCCGCCACCGGUUCACAAUUCUCCACCACCACCCCCGGUUUACCUGCCCCCGCCACCUCCUCCACCAGUCUACGUGCCUGCUCCGGCACCAACUCCAAUUUUCCCUUCUCCGCCACCUCCUGUCCCCAAGUCCCCACCACCACCUCACCCUUACGUCUAUGCAUCUCCCCCUCCUCCUUACUACUACUAGAAAGCGGCCAUGAAUAGCUCAUGCUUUUAUGGUAAUCUCAUUUAUUUUUAAAACUGUACAUGUAAAGACUAGUAGUUCAGAAUUACAUUAAGCAUUUCAAUUUUUAAGCACCGUGUUCUGUUUAAUUGCGUUCCUAUUGAUUAAGUGACAAAUAAAAGAGAUUGAUUAAUUUGUUCUUGUAGGAGAGGCGAAUGGUAUCCGAAUAAGAAAGCAAGGGUUUGAUGGAAGGCUUUACUUGGAGCAAGAUAGCGAUCAAUCGAGUUGCUGCGUUUUAUUCUCUUUUAUCUUUGUUUUUUAAGAAAAUAAACUGCCACACGUAGAAACAGAAAAUUAAGUUCUUGUCAUUUUCAUGCAUAUGGAUUGUUGCUGUGUGUGUCAAUCAAAUCUCCGUUGUGUCAUUUGUAAUUUUCAACCUUUAUGCAUGCAAAUGCGAGACCUCUUACGUAUAAUAAAAUUAAUAUACUUCCCAAGAUGGUCUUAUCUUGCGUUGACUUUUUACGUUCCUUUUGUGAUGAUUUUGACGUUUGAAAUUGAUGACUAAUUGACUAUUGUUUUUGUAAACUCUGACAUGGAUUUUUUCGUGCAACUACAGAGCGCAUUAACGAGAGACUUAUCCAUGAGGGUCCAUGCAGAUCAGUGUCUAAUUAACCAAUAAUUAAUAUAACUAAAAAAAUAUAGAGUUAACUUUUUUAUGGGUCAGGCUCAAUUGCAGAUGUUCGUACAAAAUUUCUUGCUAAUGUAUACUUGAGUAUGAUAAUAAGUUUUAAUCAUUAUUAAUAAUUCACUUGAUAAUAUUAAACAAAUUUUCAUAUCAAUUAAGUUACAAAAUUUCUGUGACAAAUUUCCGCGUACUGGAACCAUGCAAAAGGGCUUUAUUCAAACAAAACUGCAUAGCCGUUUGGCAAUUAAAAUUAUUUAUCAAUUAAGUUAAGUAGUAAGAAUUGGAUUGUGGAUUCCAUUAAUUAUUUCAAGGAAAAUUUUAUAGAUAAUGCCGUAAUGAAAUUUACGGCAUCAAUACCAUGAUAAAUAUAAAUAUUGUAAAUUACAAAUAGAAUUAGUAAAUGUAAAGUAAACCAGUAAAUUCAUAAAAGAUUAUUAAUUAUUUAAAAAAUUAACAUUGUUUCUACAUAAUUUUAGUGAAAAAUAUUUUAUUCAUUUACAAAAACAUUUCUUUAAUUAAACAAAAAAAUUCAUUAAUUAAGCAAAAAAAUUAUACUGAAAAAAAAGUGGAAUAAGUUUAAUUGAAUUGGUUAUCAUAAAUUCUAUAUUUAGUCUAGGACAUUUUUAUACAUUUUCUUCCCAUUUUCGAUAAUGAUAUCUAUUUGUUACACAUGUUAAUUAAGUGCAAUUAUUUAUCUUGAUGUGGAUCAAGUAAAAAAAUAUCAUAAAUAAGAUAUCAAUAAAAUUAGAUCUAAUUUUGAAUAUUAUGUAUACUUUAUGUAGUUUCAAACUUUUUACUUGUAUUUGGAGACCAUUUAAGGUUGUUGUUGAAGAAGUGUAGAAAGAUGUAAAAUAACUUCAUCUUACAACAACUAUGAAAGAUAUUAAAAUAAUAAUUUUUUCAAAAUCCGAUUUUGAGAAAAAAAUUCAUCCUUAAUUAAACAUCACAUGUAUUAUAGAAAUGCAAAACUACCAUUGUUAUAUUUAACUUAAAAAAUAAAAAUAUAUAAGGUAAUAAACAUUAUAAAGAGUUUUUAUUUUAAAAUUGUAAACUUUUGUUUCUGACAAUAACUCUUAUAUUAAUUUAUUUAUUUUGCCUUUUAUUCAUAAGUUUUAUGCAUAAUUUACAAACUUUAAGUUUUAUUUUGCAUUUUAUGUUGAUUUGGUUUUUUUAUAUUAUACGUACAAGUUUUUUUUUAUUUACCAGUAAUACAUCAAUUUAUCAGCUUGAUAGUAAUUUACUUAUUUUACCUUCCUUUUACAAUUCUUAUGUUUCAUUUCCAAAAUUUAUGUUUUAUUUUACAGUUGUUGAUGAUUUACUAGUUUUAUGUUAUGUUUGCAAGUUUUUGUUUUGUUUACUAGUAAUAGAUUAAUGGGUAAUUUUUAAUUGAGUCCUCAUUAGUUCUAGAAAAACAAUUCAGAGACCAGAAGUUUACUAAAUGAAUCAAUUAAAUUCUUUCAAGUACAAACUAAUGUCAUUCAAGUCCUUAACUUAAUUGGUCAGUUAAAAAUAUUAACAACGUUGAGGACAUUUUAGUAAAACAACAAUUGAGUCGUUUCUCAUUCUUUAUUUUUGACAGGUGGAAAUAGUUUAAAGUAAACUCACUUAACCUGAUUAAGUUAAGGAUCAGUUCUUUCAAAUGAAAAAAAAAAAAAAAACCUACAGAAACUGCCAUAUUCUUCGUGUGGGAGGAGAGAUCGAGAGAACGUGGGAUGGUGCAAAAAAUGUUGUAUAAAUCUACUGUGAUUUUGACCAAAGCUUUGGUAGCAUUGAUUGAGUUCAAGUACUGGAGAGAACCUGAGUUUAAAGGUUAGUAACUCUAUUUUUUUAGUGAUUUCUGCAAGCAUUUUCUGAUAAAAAAUUUUCCGUAUUGAGUGAUCGUUGUGAAAAAUUAAGUUUUUCAAGUCUAUUUUACAAAAUGACAAACUAUGUUUAAUUAUUGGUGGAUUCUUUUUUUUGUUCAAUGUUGUAUUUUGUUAAUUUGUUGUUUUUAAUUUGCUCUUAAUGUAAUUGUUAGACCAAAUACACCAUUAUUAUACCUGUAUUCAUUUCAACAAUUUGGUAUCGUUAUAUUAAUAAGAUUGAAUUCAUUGUAUUUGCUUCUUUGUUCAUGUAAAAUUGAAUUCUAUGUAUUCUUAUGAGUGAUAAUUUUUCUAUCUAUUAGACUAAAUUCACUAUAUUCACUACUUUCUUUCUUUUUGCUGGGCUAUUUUUUCUUUUUAGUUAUAUUUUUUAUAUGUAUUAGAUUGAAUUUGCUUUUGUACGUUUUUUUAGCCGAAUUACAUGUAUAUUUCAUUUAGGUUGAGUUUUUUUUGUUGUUUGCUAAAUAAAAUUAUAUUGGUUUAUCCCUUUUUUAUGCAAUACUUUUUGUUUAAAAUUAAUACAGUUAGCCAUGUUACCUUUUUUUUCGGUUAAAAUUAAUGGGGUGAUGUAGGCGAUAGGAUAUAGGGAACCAGAGGAAUAUAAGAUUAUUAGGCUGUUUCUUGAAAUUCAAGAUGUCAUGGUUAAGCAUGGACACAGUGAAAUGGAUUUGAUUGAAAUUUUUGUUGUAUUGCCAUGGACUACAAGUGGCCAGAGGAAGCUAAUUUCAAACGAUAGUGAAUUGUAUUGGGUUUUCGAGGAGUUUUUUUUAAUCAAUAGUUGUCCUGUCAUUGAGUUUGAGGUGCACACUGGGUCAGGUGGUCAGUCAUUUCAUGAAAGUGUUGUAAUAGGACCUGAAAAUCCUGUCAAUAUUAAAAAUUAGUGUUGUAAUAGUGAUAAGUUUGAAAAUGUUGUGGCUAAAAAGGUCUGCCUAGAAUAAUUGGUACUUCUUUAUUUGCCUCAAAGUCCAACACUAUGAAAUCCACAAGGAAAAAGAAUUUAUCCACUUUAACCAGCACGUCUUCAAUCUUGCCUUCAGGAUAAGCAUGAGAUCUGGCAGCACAUUGCAAUGUCACUGUGGUUGGUUUGACUUCUCCAACUCCCAAUUGCUUGAAUUCUGAUAAUGUCAUAAGAUUGAUGCUUGCUCCCAAACCACAAAGUGUCUUGCCACUGUAUUUAGUUCCUAUGGAACAAUGAAUUGUGAAACUUCCUGGAUCCUUCAACUUCUGAGGCAUUUUACUCUGAAGCAUAUGGCUGCAUUCUUGUGUUAGACCAACUAUUUCAAAUUCUCCGAGCCUCAUUUUCCUUGCCAAUAUACAUUUCCAAAACUUUACAUAAUUUGGCAUUUGUUCUAAUGCUUCCACAAAAGAAAUGUUGAUAUGCAGUUCUUUCCAUACUUCCAAGAAUUUACUGAACUGCAUGUCUUGCUUUCGCUUUUGAAAUCUUGUGGGAAGGGUGGUGGAAUGUGUAAAUUGUUGUACUGCAGCAGACUAUACAUAUUGCUUUUCUCUUGCUCUAUUAUGGUAUGUUAUUAUUGGUGUUGCAGCUUCUUCUCAACAAGCAUUGAAUCAUGUUUUUUGCAGUUGCUAUAACUUAGCAACUUCUCACCAGUGUGCUGGAAAAUGGGUUGUUGUGUCUCUUCUUUAAUUUGAGUUUCCCCUUGGUUGAAUUAGGUUCCACUCUUCUUUUGGUACUUUAACAAGUAUAUGAACAUCCUUUCCAAACCUUAAGUUAAUCCCUUACAAUGCUCUUUUCCUUCUCUCUUUCGAUCCUCUGUAUUGUUUAGUAAAUUGUCCUGAGGUAUGUUGCUCAAUUUUGUAGCAAGCUGUCCAAUCUUAUUCUCCAAGUUUCUUAAAAAUACAGCUUGGCUUUAGGACCACUACUCCAAUCUUUACAAUAUACUCCUUAAUCAGAGUUUCAAUGGAACUAAAUUGAUCAUUACUGGUGUUUCUUUACCCUUCAAAUUUCUGUUGAAAUCAGGUGGCUGAGCAGUCUGUUCUGUCCACUGGAUGCUGCAGCAUGCUGAUUCUGAUUGCUCCUUUUUAAAAUUUGGGUGAUGUCUCCAUCCUAGGUUAUAGGUGUUUUGAAAAUGGAUUGCUUUGAUUUUGUUUAUUAAAUUGCCCACAUAAUUGACGGAAGCUGAAUUCCUAGGACAAUUAUGAUAUAGAUGUCCCUCUCCAUAAUAAACACAGAGACUUCAGCAAUUUGGUUAACUGUUGCCGGAGCAGUGGCCGUUGCUUUUACCAUAUUUUGUCAAUGAGGUUACUUGGGCUGAUAAUGUUGUCAGUGCAUCCACAUUUGUGUACUCCUGCUGCUCCUCUCACUGUGGCUUGUCUAGUUGAUGGCCAUUGAUAGUUAUCCUUUUCUAAAAUUUCAUAAGCCUCAUUAUAUGAGUUAGACAAUAAAGCCCCUAGUUAUUGAGUUCAACCCAUUGUAGAAAGUUUCCAAUUGUAUGCAAUAAGGGAAUACCAUGAUGAGGGCAUCUCCUGAGUAACCCUUGAAUCUUUUCUCAUGCAUCAUACAAGCUUUCAUCUUCAAGUUGAUGGAAAGAUGUGAUCUCAUUCUUCAACUUUGCAUUCUUUGUUGGUGGGAAAUAUUUCAUCAAAAGUUUGUCAGCCAAAUAAUUCCAUGUGGUGAUGGAGUCUGGUUGCAAAGAACUCCACUGUACCAACUAAAAUUGAUUUUCACAAAACACAAUAAGCACCAAUCCCCGGCAACGGCGCAAAAAACUUGUUGUCGAUUUUCUAAUGCUAUUAGUGUCAAUGUGAAAAUGUACACAACAAGUAAUAUAACGAUAGUAUUCACUCCACAAGGAUUAUUAUUAUAGGAAUUGCUACAGUAAUUCUAUCAGUGCCAUUCUUAUUAUAAAUUAGAAUUUAAACAAUUAUUCAACUAAUGAACUAAGGCAGAUCUUAUUGGGCUAGUCGGCAAUGUGUUGCUUUAGGUCGUGUGGAAUAGUUGCGGGAGUGAUCUUGCAUGAUGUGUGGAGCUAUAACAGUGCUGAGCAUGGGCCAAUCUAUGGGCUCAUGGAACUAGCGAACCUAAUCUAGAAUUUCGAGGAAGAGUACUCUGGUUAGUACUCUAAAUUACCUUAUUAUAUUUUGCACAAACAGAGGCAUGUUAGUGAAAUAAUAUCUAAGCAACCCAAGAGGGGGGUGAAUUGGGUUUCUAAAAUUAUGCAAUUCUUAACAAAACUUAAUGCAAAUCUUAAACGAAUUUAAAGCAAUAAUACAUAAAUCAACAAGGUAUAAAAAGAUAAGGGAAGAGAGAUUAAAACACAGAGAGUUUUACGUGGUUCGGCCAACCUUGCCUACAUCCACACCCCAAGCACACCGAGCUUGGGCAUUCCACUAGUCAAGCCUUCAAGGCUUCAAGAACACUUACAAUUGACUUCUUAGGUGUCAAUCAACCUUUACAUCUAGAGAUUAUCCCCAAUCUCUUAACCCAAGUGUAUCCCAAUAUUUACAAUCACUCAAAUAAAGAUUACAAUUUAUUUUUCUCUCACACAAUUUUUUAAGAUUACAAAUCAACGCUUAAUGUGUGAAUAAAUGAACAAGAAUGAAUUUGAAGCUCAAUGAAUGUUGUAUUCUCGAUUAUAAGCUCAAUGAUAACGUUGUGAUAAGCUCUUGUUUGAAUUUGAUUGAUCUUAUUUAUAGUUGGAGUUGAAAAAUAGCCAUUGUUGACUUUUUCCCGAAAUUGGAUCGCCGUUAACCGUUAUCGGUUAACCGUUUUGACUGGUCAAGUGACCGUUGAGCUGAAUUUCAAAAUAAACGGUUGAUCUUUUGACACUAUCGGUUUGCUGUUAAUUUCCAUAAACCUGUAAAACAAAUUUAUGCUAUUCGUUCUUGCUAAACGGUUGAAGGUCAGCAUGGAAUGACAUUCUAGAAAUUAUUGGUUGGCCGUUUGAAGUUCACGGUUCACCGUUUACUUCUAGAAUCACAGUUUUAACCAAAUUUCGCAGGGAAUGCUUUUUCGGUUAAAGUUAACGAUUAUCCAUAUUUCAUGAACACAUUUAGAAAAAUCAUACGACUUUUGAGAAAUUGUUUAGUAAUGAAAACUCUAACAUUUUAAUCAAAUACAUUUAAAGUUUGUUAUCAUCAAAAUCAAUAUAAUGAACAUCUACAUGUUAACAGUUAGGCCUUGAUUAUUUUUUAAAUCUUAUAAGAUAUAGAGUGAUAAUAGUAACUCAAUUUUCAUAAAACGUGGAAAGAUCAGUCGCCAAAUUUAUAGAUGCCAUAGAAAACCUAGAUUUAGUAAGGAAUAUCAAGUUAUUUAUACAAUGAAAUUGUUAAAACUCGAUUAAUUGCAAGGAAACACUUUUAGAGAGAUAUGGAGAGAAUAAACUUUGAAGAUAACAAUGAAAUACAUGACACAUUUAAGGAAGAAAAUAUAAUAGUAUUAAUAGAAUCUAUUUUAACCGGUCUUAAGAUAAUUCAGAUUGAUGCAAAAUAAAUAACAGGACUCUAAACCGUCCAUAAUAAGUCUAUUGAUUAAUAAUAACAAUAAUAGUGAUGUGAAAUUUUUAUUCAGAAUGCUCAAUUUAGAUUAUAAUAUCUAUGUGAAAGCAUUGAUGGCAUGUACCUUGGUUAGGAAAAUAGAUUGGACACAUGGAUAUAUAUGUUGGAAGAACAAAUCUAGUUUAUAUCUCAAGAGAGAUAAUAAAUUAUAAAUGACGGUGCUAUAGUAUAUUCAGAUUUUAUAAAUCUUUAUAAAUUUAAUAAUCAUUUAGAUCUUCAUAAUAUUAUAAUAAAACUUUAAAAAACUUUAAAAAUAUAUGUAGAAGAGAUGGAAGAAGAAAUCAUCCAAUUAUUCAAAAUCAAUUAAACAAAAAUAGAAGGUAAAAUCCUUGAAUUAUAUAAAUUAUACAAUUUCACAGAAAUUUUGCAUAUAUUGCGAAACGGUCCUUGUGGCACUAAUUAUGGGACUAGUGUAGCAUAAAUACUAAUAUUGCUUUUUAUUUUGUAAAUUAAUUGUUGCGUCAUAAUUUUUUUACAUACACAUUUUAUGUUUUAAAAUAUGAUUUUUUUUUUGUAUUUAGGGUUAAUUUUACAAUUUCAUACUUUGUUCAAUUAUAUGUACAGGUCCUUCACGUGUUGGUUGAUGUUGAAUAUUCAAAGAUCCACAAGCUAUCAACGACAACGAAUCAAAUUAAACUAAUUAGUUAAUACAUAAUGACUGGGUUGUUUCCUAUGUUGUUAAUGAUGUAGAACGUUAUUUUAGGAUUUUAGAAUUUUAAUUUUUAGGUCUUCUGAUAUUUUCUUUUUUAAUUAAAGUUAGUGUCUUAGUUUUUUAUUUAUUUAUGUUAUAAUUAUAAUUUACUUUCUCUUUUUAAGUUAACUUAGGAAAAUAUAUUUACUGUAUUAUAAAUAAAGAGAUCUUGUUAUUACUUUAUAACUUCAACUUCAGUUAUUCAAUUAAAAACCCCUCUUUUAUAAUUUCCUUUUGUAUUAUCUAUUAAAAACCCCUCUUUUAAGUUGUUUGAUUAGAGCAUCAUCUAGCCUUGCUUAACGCAGUAUAAAAAAUCCCUUUGAGUUUAAUCACACGUCGAUUAGAGCGUAACUUAAUCGCAUUGACUUGGUCCAUGACUUGAACGAUAUCUAGUGUUUUGCUUCCGCUAUGCCCAAGGAGAAAAUUAAUUUCACCGUGAGAUAAGAGCAUUAAAAGGAAUUCAUAAGAAAUUUAAAUUAAAGCUAUAUAUGUUAAAUAUAUCGCUAGCUACUUGUUUUUGGAGGAAUUAAAACAAUUAAUAAGCUGCGAAGUGAAAAUGAAUAAAUAAAUGAAAUGAGGUUGAAAAUAAGUCUCGCCGCCUGGAUCCAAGGCCAAAACAUUCAUGAUAAGUUAGGUAAUUAAGUACAUGUUUUCAAGCUCUUCAUGAAGAAUAACGUUAUUGAAAUAAAUCACAAAGACUCCCUGCGCAAAUUAUUACAUUGAUUAAAAAAAAAAGCCAUAUCUUUAACAGGAUCGUGACUCUCGGACUGUUAAUUACUUUAUUCCCUGCUUGGCCAACAGCUGGCCACUAAACAAAAUCAUAAAAAUUUUAAAUUUAGUCAAAUUGGUCCCACUUGAUGACAUCCUUUUCAUACAUAAAAUUGUUAACGUCAAGGUUAAAUAUGAGAAGUUUGGUAGAGAAGGUAAAAAGGAAGUCUAUAUAAGGAGGGGAACGAGCUUUGUUUUAUAGCACAAGUGAAACUCCACUUUAUUGAACGAUGGGGUCUCAAAUGGGCUGCCUCUUUGCCACUCUUUUGGUAGUAUCAGUCUCUCUUAGCUACUUGCCGUUAGAAGCCUCCGCAAACAAAUACUACUACACAUCUCCUCCCCCUCCCAAGUACAAGUCUCCACCACCACCCCCGCCACCGGUUCACAAUUCUCCACCACCACCCCCGGUUUACCUGCCCCCGCCACCUCCUCCACCAGUCUACGUGCCUGCUCCGGCACCAACUCCAAUUUUCCCUUCUCCGCCACCUCCUGUCCCCAAGUCCCCACCACCACCUCACCCUUACGUCUAUGCAUCUCCCCCUCCUCCUUACUACUACUAGAAAGCGGCCAUGAAUAGCUCAUGCUUUUAUGGUAAUCUCAUUUAUUUUUAAAACUGUACAUGUAAAGACUAGUAGUUCAGAAUUACAUUAAGCAUUUCAAUUUUAAGCACCGUGUUCUGUUUAAUUGCGUUCCUAUUGAUUAAGUGACAAAUAAAAGAGAUUGAUUAAUUUGUUCUUGUAGGAGAGGCGAAUGGUAUCCGAAUAAAGAAAGCAAGGGUUUGAUGGAAGGCUUACUUGGAGCAAGAUAGCGAUCAAUCGAGUUGCUGCGUUUUAUUCUCUUUUAUCUUUGUUUUUUAAGAAAAAUAAACUGCCACACGUAGAAACAGAAAAUUAAGUUCUUGUCAUUUUCAUGCAUAUGGAUUGUUGCUGUGUGUGUCAAUCAAAUCUCCGUUGUGUCAUUUGUAAUUUUCAACCUUUAUGCAUGCAAAUGCGAGACCUCUUACGUAUAAUAAAAUUAAUAUACUUCCCAAGAUGGUCUUAUCUUGCGUUGACUUUUUACGUUCCUUUGGUGAUGAUUUUGACGUUUGAAAUUGAUGACUAAUUGACUAUUGUUUUUGUAAACUCUGACAUGGAUUUUUCGUGCAACUACAGAGCGCAUUAACGAGAGACUUAUCCAUGAGGGUCCAUGCAGAUCAGUGUCUAAUUAACCAAUAAUUAAUAUAACUAAAAAAAUAUAGAGUUAACUAUUUUUAUGGGUCAGGCUCAAUUGCAGAUGUUCGUACAAAAUUUCUUGCUAAUGUAUACUUGAGUAUGAUAAUAAGUUUUAAUCAUUAUUAAUAAUUCACUUGAUAAUAUUAAACAAAUUUUCAUAUCAAUUAAGUUACAAAAUUUCUGUGACAAAUUUCCGCGUACUGGAACCAUGCAAAAGGGCUUUAUUCAAACAAAACUGCAUAGCCGUUGGCAAUUAAAAUUAUUUAUCAAUUAAGUUAAGUAGUAAGAAUUGGAUUGUGGAUUCCAUUAAUUAUUUCAAGGAAAAUUUUAUAGAUAAUGCCGUAAUGAAAUUUACGGCAUCAAUACCAUGAUAAAUAUAAAUAUUGUAAAUUACAAAUAGAAUUAGUAAAUGUAAAGUAAAACCAGUAAAUUCAUAAAAGAUUAUUAAUUAUUUAAAAAAUUAACAUUGUUUCUACAUAAUUUUAGUGAAAAAUAUUUUAUUCAUUUACAAAAACAUUUCUUUAAUUAAACAAAAAAAUUCAUUAAUUAAGCAAAAAAAAUUAUACUGAAAAAAAAGUGGAAUAAGUUUAAUUGAAUUGGUUAUCAUAAAUUCUAUAUUUAGUCUAGGACAUUUUUUAUACAUUUUCUUCCCAUUUUCGAUAAUGAUAUCUAUUUGUUACACAUGUUAAUUAAGUGCAAUUAUUUAUCUUGAUGUGGAUCAAGUAAAAAAAUAUCAUAAAUAAGAUAUCAAUAAAAUUAGAUCUAAUUUUGAAUAUUAUGUAUACUUUAUGUAGUUUCAAACUUUUUACUUGUAUUUGGAGACCAUUUAAGGUUGUUGUUGAAGAAGUGUAGAAAGAUGUAAAAUAACUUCAUCUUACAACAACUAUGAAAGAUAUUAAAAUAAUAAUUUUUUUCAAAAUCCGAUUUUGAGAAAAAAAUUCAUCCUUAAUUAAACAUCACAUGUAUUAUAGAAAUGCAAAACUACCAUUGUUAUAUUUAACUUAAAAAAUAAUAAAUAUAUAAGGUAAUAAACAUUAUAAAGAGUUUUUAUUUUAAAAUUGUAAACUUUUGUUCUGACAAUAACUCUUAUAUUAAUUUAUUUAUUUUGCCUUUUAUUCAUAAGUUUUAUGCAUAAUUUACAAACUUUAAGUUUUAUUUUGCAUUUUAUGUUGAUUUGGUUUUUUUAUAUUAUACGUACAAGUUUUCUUUUUAUUUACCAGUAAUACAUCAAUUUAUCAGCUUGAUAGUAAUUUACUUAUUUUACCUUCCUUUUACAAUUCUUAUGUUUCAUUUCCAAAAUUUAUGUUUUAUUUUACAGUUGUUGAUGAUUUACUAGUUUUAUGUUAUGUUUGCAAGUUUUUGUUUUGUUUACUAGUAAUAGAUUAAUGGGUAAUUUUUAAUUGAGUCCUCAUUAGUUCUAGAAAAACAAUUCAGAGACCAGAAGUUUACUAAAUGAAUCAAUUAAAUUCUUUCAAGUACAAACUAAUGUCAUUCAAGUCCUUAACUUAAUUGGUCAGUUAAAAAUAUUAACAACGUUGAGGACAUUUUAGUAAAACAACAAUUGAGUCGUUUCUCAUUCUUUAUUUUUGACAGGUGGAAAUAGUUUAAAGUAAACUCACUUAACCUGAUUAAGUUAAGGAUCAGUUCUUUCAAAUGAAAAAAAAAAAAAAAACCUACAGAAACUGCCAUAUUCUUCGUGUGGGAGGAGAGAUCGAGAGAACGUGGGAUGGUGCAAAAAAUGUUGUAUAAAUCUACUGUGAUUUUGACCAAAGCUUUGGUAGCAUUGAUUGAGUUCAAGUACUGGAGAGAACCUGAGUUUAAAGGUUAGUAACUCUAUUUUUUUAGUGAUUUCUGCAAGCAUUUUCUGAUAAAAAAUUUUCCGUAUUGAGUGAUCGUUGUGAAAAAUUAAGUUUUUCAAGUCUAUUUUACAAAAUGACAAACUAUGUUUAAUUAUUGGUGGAUUCUUUUUUUGUUCAAUGUUGUAUUUUGUUAAUUUGUUGUUUUUAAUUUGCUCUUAAUGUAAUUGUUAGACCAAAUACACCAUUAUUAUACCUGUAUUCAUUUCAACAAUUUGGUAUCGUUAUAUUAAUAAGAUUGAAUUCAUUGUAUUUGCUUCUUUGUUCAUGUAAAAUUGAAUUCUAUGUAUUCUUAUGAGUGAUAAUUUUUCUAUCUAUUAGACUAAAUUCACUAUAUUCACUACUUUCUUUCUUUUUGCUGGGCUAUUUUUUCUUUUUAGUUUAUAUUUUUUAUAUGUAUUAGAUUGAAUUUGCUUUUGUACGUUUUUUUAGCCGAAUUACAUGUAUAUUUCAUUUAGGUUGAGUUUUUUUUGUUGUUUGCUAAAUAAAAUUAUAUUGGUUUAUCCCUUUUUAUGCAAUACUUUUUGUUUAAAAUUAAUACAGUUAGCCAUGUUACCUUUUUUUUCGGUUAAAAUUAAUGGGGUGAUGUAGGCGAUAGGAUAUAGGGAACCAGAGGAAUAUAAGAUUAUUAGGCUGUUUCUUGAAAUUCAAGAUGUCAUGGUUAAGCAUGGACACAGUGAAAUGGAUUUGAUUGAAAUUUUUGUUGUAUUGCCAUGGACUACAAGUGGCCAGAGGAAGCUAAUUUCAAACGAUAGUGAAUUGUAUUGGGUUUUCGAGGAGUUUUUUUUAAUCAAUAGUUGUCCUGUCAUUGAGUUUGAGGUGCACACUGGGUCAGGUGGUCAGUCAUUUCAUGAAAGUGUUGUAAUAGGACCUGAAAAUCCUGUCAAUAUUAAAAAUUAGUGUUGUAAUAGUGAUAAGUUUGAAAAUGUUGUGGCUAAAAAGGUCUGCCUAGAAUAAUUGGUACUUCUUUAUUUGCCUCAAAGUCCAACACUAUGAAAUCCACAAGGAAAAAGAAUUUAUCCACUUUAACCAGCACGUCUUCAAUCUUGCCUUCAGGAUAAGCAUGAGAUCUGGCAGCACAUUGCAAUGUCACUGUGGUUGGUUUGACUUCUCCAACUCCCAAUUGCUUGAAUUCUGAUAAUGUCAUAAGAUUGAUGCUUGCUCCCAAACCACAAAGUGUCUUGCCACUGUAUUUAGUUCCUAUGGAACAAUGAAUUGUGAAACUUCCUGGAUCCUUCAACUUCUGAGGCAUUUUACUCUGAAGCAUAUGGCUGCAUUCUUGUGUUAGACCAACUAUUUCAAAUUCUCCGAGCCUCAUUUUCCUUGCCAAUAUACAUUUCCAAAACUUUACAUAAUUUGGCAUUUGUUCUAAUGCUUCCACAAAAGAAAUGUUGAUAUGCAGUUCUUUCCAUACUUCCAAGAAUUUACUGAACUGCAUGUCUUGCUUUCGCUUUUGAAAUCUUUGUGGGAAGGGUGGUGGAUGUGUAAAUUGUUGUACUGCAGCAGACUAUACAUAUUGCUUUUCUCUUGCUCUAUUAUGGUAUGUUAUUAUUGGUGUUGCAGCUUCUUCCUCAACAAGCAUUGAAUCAUGUUUUUUUGCAGUUGCUAUAACUUAGCAACUCUCACCAGUGUGCUGGAAAAUGGGUUGUUGUGUCUCUUCUUUAAUUUGAGUUUCCCCUUGGGUUGAAUUAGGUUCCACUCUUCUUUUUGGUACUUUAACAAGUAUAUGAACAUCCUUUCCAAACCUUAAGUUAAUCCCCUUACAAUGCUCUUUUCCUUCUCUCUUUCGAUCCUCUGUAUUGUUUAGUAAAUUGUCCUGAGGUAUGUUGCUCAAUUUUGUAGCAAGCUGUCCAAUCUUAUUCUCCAAGUUUCUUAAAAAUACAGCUUGGCUUUAGACCACUACUCCAAUCUUUACAAUAUACUCCUUAAUCAGAGUUUCAAUGGAACUAAAUUGAUCAUUACUGGUGUUUCUUUACCCUUCAAAUUUCUGGUGAAAAUCAGGUGGCUGAGCAAGUCAGUUCUGUCCACUGGAUGCUGCAGCAUGCUGAUUCUGAUUGCUCCUUUUAAAAUUUGGGUGAUGUCUCCAUCCUAGGUUAUAGGUGUUUGAAAAUGGAUUGCUUUGAUUUUGUUUAUUAAAAUUGCCCACAUAAUUGACGGAAGCUGAAUUCCUAGGACAAUUAUGAUAUAGAUGUCCCUCUCCAUAAUAAACACAAGAGACUUCAGCAAUUUGGUUAACUGUUGCCGGAGCAGUGGCCGUUGCUUUUACCAUAUUUUGUCAAUGAGGUUACUUGGGCUGAUAAUGUUGUCAGUGCAUCCACAUUGUGUACUCCUGCUGCUCCUCUCACUGUGGCUUGUCUAGUUGAUGGCCAUUGAUAGUUAUCCUUUCUAAAAUUUCAUAAGCCUCAUUAUAUGAGUUAGACAAUAAAGCCCCUAGUUAUUGAGUUCAACCCAUUGUAGAAAGUUUCCAAUUGUAUGCAAUAAGGAAUACCAUGAUGAGGGCAUCUCCUGAGUAACCCCUUGAAUCUUUCUCAUGCAUCAUACAAGCUUUCAUCUUCAAGUUGAUGGAAAGAUGUGAUCUCAUUCUUCAACUUUGCAUUCUUUGUUGGUGGGAAAUAUUUCAUCAAAAGUUUGUCAGCCAAAUAAUUCCAUGUGGUGAUGGAGUCUGGUUGCAAAGAACUCCACUGUACCAACUAAAAUUGAUUUCACAAAACACAAUAAGCACCAAUCCCCGGCAACGGCGCAAAAAACUUGUUGUCGAUUUUCUAAUGCUAUUAGUGUCAAUGUGAAAAUGUACACAACAAGUAAUAUAACGAUAAGUAUUCACUCCACAAGGAUUAUUAUUAUAGGAAUUGCUACAGUAAUUCUAUCAGUGCCAUUCUUAUUAUAAAUUAGAAUUUAAACAAAAUUAUUCAACUAAUGAACUAAGUCAGAUCUUAUUGGGGCUAGUCGGCAAUGUGUUGCUUUAGGUCGUGUGGAAUAGUUGCGGGAGUGAUCUUGCAUGAUGUGUGGAGCUAUAACAGUGCUGAGCAUGGGCCAAUCUAUGGGCUCAUGGAACUAGCGAACCUAAUCUAGAAUUUCGAGGAAGAGUACUCUGGUUAGUACUCUAAUUACCUUAUUAUAUUUUGCACAAACAGAGGCAUGUUAGUGAAAUAAUAUCUAAGCAACCCAAGAGGGGGGUGAAUUGGGUUUCUAAAAAUUAUGCAAUUCUUAAACAAAACUUAAUGCAAAUCUUAAACGAAUUUAAAGCAAUAAUACAUAAAUCAACCAAGGUAUAAAAGAUAAGGGAAGAGAGAUUAAAACACAGAGAGUUUUACGUGGUUCGGCCAACCUUGCCUACAUCCACACCCCCAAGCACACCGAGCUUGGGCAUUCCACUAGUCAAGCCUUCAAGGCUUCAAGAACACUUACAAAUUGACUUCUUAGGUGUCAAUCAACCUUUACAUCUAGAGAUUAUCCCCAAUCUCUUAACCCAAGUGUAUCCCAAUAUUUACAAUCACUCAAAAUAAAGAUUACAAAUUUAUUUUUUCUCUCACACAAUUUUUUAAGAUUACAAAUCAACGCUUAAUGUGUGAAUAAAUGAACAAGAAUGAAUUUGAAGCUCAAUGAAUGUUGUAUUCUCGAUUAUAAGCUCAAUGAUAACGUUGUGAUAAGCUCUUGUUUUGAAUUUGAUUGAUCUUAUUUAUAGUUGGAGUUGAAAAAUAGCCAUUGUUGACUUUUUCCCGAAAUUGGAUCGCCGUUAACCGUUAUCGGUUAACCGUUUUGACUGGUCCAAGUGACCGUUGAGCUGAAUUUCAAAUAAACGGUUGAUCUUUUGACACUAUCGGUUUGCUGUUAAUUUCCAUAACCUGUAAAACAAAUUUAUGCUAUUCGUUCUUGCUAAACGGUUGAAGGUCAGCAUGGAAUGACAUUCUAGAAAUUAUUGGUUGGCCGUUUGAAGUUCACGGUUCACCGUUUACUUCUAGAAUCACAGUUUUAACCAAAUUUCGCAGGGAAUGCUUUUUCGGUUAAAGUUAACGAUUAUCCAUAUUUCAUGAACACAUUUAGAAAAAUCAUACGACUUUUGAGAAAUUGUUUAGUAAUGAAAACUCUAACAUUUUAAUCAAAUACAUUUAAAGUUUGUUAUCAUCAAAAUCAAUAUAAUGAACAUCUACAUGUUAACAGUUAGGCCUUGAUUAUUUUUUAAAUCUUAUAAGAUAUAGAGUGAUAAUAGUAACUCAUUUUCAUAAAACGUGGAAGAUCAGUCGCCAAAUUUAUAGAUGCCAUAGAAAAUCUAGAUUUUAGUAAGGAAUAUCAAGUUAUUUAUACAAUGAAAAUUGUUAAAACUCGAUUAAUUGCAAGGAAACACUUUUAGAGAGAUAUGGAGAGAAUAAACUUUGAAGAUAACAAUGAAAUACAUGAACACAUUUAAGGAAGAAAAUAUAAUAGUAUUAAUAGAAUCUAUUUUAACCGGUCUUAAGAUAAUUCAAGAUUGAUGCAAAAUAAAUAACAGGACUCUAAAACCGUCCAUAAUAAGUCUAUUGAUUAAUAAUAACAAUAAUAGUGAUGUGAAAUUUUUUAUUCAGAAUGCUCAAUUUAGAUUAUAAUAUCUAUGUGAAAGCAUUGAUGCAUGUACCUUGGUUAGGAAAUAGAUUGGACACAUGGAUAUAUAUGUUGGAAGAACAAAUCUAGUUUAUAUCUCAAGAGAGAUAAUAAAUUAUAAAUGACGGUGCUAUAGUAUAUUCAGAUUUUAUAAAUCUUUAUAAAUUUAAUAAUCAUUUAGAUCUUCAUAUAUUAUAAUAAAAACUUUAAAAAACUUUAAAAAUAUAUGUAGAAGAGAUGGAAGAAGAAAUCAUCCAAUUAUUCAAAAUCAAUUAAACAAAAAUAGAAGGUAAAAUCCUUGAAUUAUAUAAAUUAUACAAUUUCACAGAAAUUUUGCAUAUAUUGCGAAACGGUCCUUGUGCACUAAUUAUGGGACUAGUGUAGCAUAAAUACUAAUAUUGCUUUUUAUUUUUGUAAAUUAAUUGUUGCGUCAUAAUUUUUUACAUACACAUUUUAUGUUUUAAAAUAUGAUUUUUUUUUUGUAUUUAGGGUUAAUUUUACAAUUUCAUACUUUGUUCAAUUAUAUGUACAGGUCCUUCACGUGUUGGUUGAUGUUGAAUAUUCAAAGAUCCACAAGCUAUCAACGACAACGAAUCAAAUUAAACUAAUUAGUUAAUACAUAAUGACCUGGGUUGUUUCCUAUGUUGUUAAUGAUGUAGAACGUUAUUUUAGGAUUUUAGAAUUUUAAUUUUUAGGUCUUCUGAUAUUUUCUUUUUUAAUUAAAGUUAGUGUUUAGUUUUUUAUUUAUUUAUGUUAUAAUUAUAAUUUACUUUCUCUUUUUAAGUUAACUUAGGAAAUAUAUUUACUGUAUUAUAAAUAAAGAGAUCUUGUUAUUACUUUAUAACUUCAACUUCAGUUAUUCAAUUAAAAACCCUCUUUUAUAAUUUCCUUUUGUAUUAUCUAUUAAAAACCCCUCUUUUUAAAGUUGUUUGAUUAGAGCAUCAUCUAGCCUUGCUUAAAGCAGUAUAAAAAAUCCCUUUGAGUUUAAUCACACGUCGAUUAGAGCGUAACUUAAUCGCAUUGACUUGGUCCAUGACUUGAACGAUAUCUAGUGUUUUGCUUCCGCUAUGCCCAAGGAGAAAAUUAAUUUUCACCGUGAGAUAAGAGCAUUAAAGGAAUUCAUAAGAAAUUUAAUUAAAGCUAUAUAUGUUAAAUAUAUCGCUAGCUACUUGUUUUUGGAGGAAUUAAAACAAUUAAUAAGCUGCGAAGUGAAAAUGAAUAAAUAAAUGAAAUGAGGUUGAAAAUAAGUCUCGCCGCCUGGAUCCAAGGCCAAAACAUUCAUGAUAAGUUAGGUAAUUAAGUACAUGUUUCAAGCUCUUCAUGAAGAAUAACGUUAUUGAAAUAAAUCACAAAGACUCCCUGCGCAAAUUAUUACAUUGAUUAAAAAAAAAAGCCAUAUCUUUAACAGGAUCGUGACUCUCGGACUGUUAAUUACUUUAUUCCUGCUUGGCCAACAGCUGGCCACUAAACAAAAUCAUAAAAAUUUUUAAAUUUAGUCAAAUUGGUCCACUUGAUGACAUCCUUUUCAUACAUAAAAUUGUUAACGUCAAGGUUAAAUAUAGAAGUUUGGUAGAGAAGGUAAAAAGAAGUCUAUAUAAGGAGGGGAACGAGCUUUGUUAUAGCACAAGUGAAACUCCACUUUAUUGAACGAUGGGGUCUCAAAUGGGCUGCCUCUUUGCCACUCUUUGGUAGUAUCAGUCUCUCUUAGCUACUUGCCGUUAGAAGCCUCCGCAAACAAAUACUACUACACAUCUCCUCCCCCUCCAAGUACAAGUCUCCACCACCACCCCCGCCACCGGUUCACAAUUCUCACCACCACCCCCGUUUUACCUGCCCCCCGCCACCUCCUCCACCAGUCUACGUGCCUGCUCCGGCACCAACUCCAAUUUUCCCUUCUCCCACCUCCUGUCCCCAAGUCCCCACCACCACCUCACCCUUACGUCUAUGCAUCUCCCCUCCUCCUUACUACUACUAGAAAGCGGCCAUGAAUAGCUCAUGCUUUUAUGGUAAUCUCAUUUAUUUUUAAAACUGUACAUGUAAAGACUAGUAGUUCAGAAUUACAUUAAGCAUUUCAAUUUUAAGCACCGUGUUCUGUUUAAUUGCGUUCCUAUUGAUUAAGUGACAAAUAAAAAGAGAUUGAUUAAUUUGUUCUUGUAGGAGAGGCGAAUGGUUAUCCGAAUAAAGAAGCAAGGGUUUGAUGGAAGGCUUACUUGGAGCAAGAUAGCGAUCAAUCGAGUUGCUGCGUUUUAUUCUCUUUAUCUUUGUUUUUUAAGAAAAAAUAAACUGCCACACGUAGAAACAGAAAAUUAAGUUCUUGUCAUUUUCAUGCAUAUGGAUUGUUGCUGUGUGUGUCAAUCAAAUCUCCGUUGUGUCAUUUGUAAUUUUCAACCUUUAUGCAUGCAAAUGCGAGACCUCUUACGUAUAAUAAAAUUAAUAUACUUCCCAAGAUGGUCUUAUCUUGCG
rnacentral:lncRNA from 1 species